AAUGCUGAACAGGGAGACAAAAAUACCGAGGCAUACUCCACACCGAAACCUCCUGAUGAAACGAUGAAGUUUGAUACUUUUGAGGAAGCUUAUGAACACUACAGGCAAUAUGCACAGAGAUAUGGUUUUGGAAUGAGACUGGAAUACAGAAAAACAAUCAAAGACAAUACUGUAAGCAGAGUCCUCCUGGUUUGUGGGAAAUACGACAAGCCAAAAACAAACAACAAAGAGACAGAGGAUGUGCAGGUCCCAAAAGGCAUCGUGAAGAAGAGGAAAAGAGGGAAGGUUGUGAGGUCGGGAUGUCCGGCCCACCUUUACAUCACCCACACGGAUGCGUGGUGGAGAGUCAAACGCUGCAACGACGACCACAACCACCCUCUAAUAAGAAAGCCGUCCUUGACAAAGUUCCUAUCAUCACAUAGGAACAUUCCAAAAGAUGAGCAGGACUUCUUGAAGAUAUUGCACGGAUGCAACAUAGAGACAGCCAGACAGAUGCAACUAAUGGAAUGGUUCUACGGGAAUCCUAAAGAUGUACCAUACACAACAAAGGACACCGCAAACCAGCGAGCUAAAUUCCGGAUGGAGUACCGCCAUGCUGAUGUGGGGAGCACAAUCUCGUACUUCCAAGAUGUUUAUAUUAUGAAUGCAGUUGAGGAGUUUGAGCACAAGUGGUGGGUGAUGAUGGAAGCGUAUGGCCAGACUGACAAUGGACAUUUCCAUUGGCUGUGGGAGAACAGGAAGUGUUGGGUCCCGGUAUACUAUAUGCAUGACUUUUUCCCGUUCUUGCAGACCACGGCAAGAAGCGAUGGAUUUAACUCUGUGCUCAAGAAGUAUGUCAACCCAAACAACUCACUGGUCGAAUUCGCACAACAGUACACUGCGAUACAGGAUAAGGUGAUGGCUAGCGUGUCAAAAGAGCAAUUGGAAACAAUGCACAAAGAAACCGAAAUGUACUCGAUGAACCCGCUGGAGAUGCAGGUGCGGGGGCUAUACACACAUAACUUGUUUUGCAAGUUCCAGGUGGAGAUGAAGGUGAAAUCAGCAUACAGAUGCGACGCAUUGGAUGAUGGUACUUUCAAGGUCAGCUCAGUACGCGGGAUAAUACCGAAAUAUGGAGACAGGGACUACCAUGUGCAAGCAAACAUGGUUGAAGAGACAUACUCGUGUAGUUGCUGCAAGUUUGAUCGUGACGGGCUACUGUGCACGCACGUACUACGAGUUAUGGACCAAAUUGGGGUAUACGAGAUACCUAAGUACAUCCUAAAGAGGUGGACCUGGGAUCCAGAGGAGGAUCUUAUUCAACCUGAUUUCGAACAGCCGAUAGUUAAGAAGUCGAUGCCAGAGGAGGGGAAAAGUGUCAUGCGAUACACAUCAAUUCUUAAAGAAUUUAAGGCAUUGGCCAAAGAUGCUUGCCUAAUAGAUGACGGGACCAGAUUGGCAAGAAAACACCUGUAUAAUUUUCUUUCUGUCGCACCUAACAGAUGACGGGAACGGAUGACGGGAACAGAUGACGGGACCAGAUCGGCCAAAGAUGCUUGCCUUAAAGAAAGCAAUCAGGUUUUGAGAUUGCAAAACCAAAGACAAAAAGGAAAUGUGGUGUGUGCGGGAGUCUGGAACAUGACAAACGCACAUGCAAAUCUCCCCUAG
rnacentral:rRNA from 1 species